rnacentral:lncRNA from 1 species
GUGGCCGAAUCCCGCGCAGCUUGGCUGGGAUGUGUUGUGUUCCUAGCUGUGGGUGCUGCUUGUUGGUGUGAGGCUUGCCAUCGCUUCACCACCUCCUGGAAAUGUCCGUGGCUUCUCUGAUUGCCGAUCAGAUGGGUGAGUUCAGCCCUGGGCUCAACAAUGGUGCUGUCUUUUGCCAACAGGGUGCCGUAAAGGUCAGAGCAAUGAAACGGAGGAUAGAGAGCUUCACUGUUCCGGUGUGGUUCAGGCUCAGGCCUAUGGGUACUGGCUUGGCCUCAUGCUCCCUCCUGACUUGCAGACAUUGAGGUCCAGCAUCAGAUGCAGAGGCUUACAGAGCUGAUGGACCAGCUCCCCCUAAAGCAGGUGACCACGUCUCUGUAACUAAUGGAUUCACUUUUCUUAUUGAGCUUUAGUUGAGGCCAUGUUCGCGAUGAGUGGUGGUUGAUGGUGAUCCAUGAAUUCUCUCCAUCCUUCAGAGCUCAGCUUGCCUCCCCUCCUCCGGGACGCAUUCCCAGAUUCUACCUGCCAUCCACCUUUGCUUCUGCACCUGAGGUACUGCAGCGCUCACUUCCCAUCCUGCUUCUGGUUCUCAACAUGUGGAAAACGCCUUUCAAGUACUCCUUACCAACAGAGCCAAAUAUAUAUUAAACCUAUGUACCAUCACCUGAAAAUCCUG